CGGGAACUGUGAGACAGGUGCUGCAUGGCUGUCGUCAGCUCGUGUUGUGAAAUGUUGGGUUAAGUCCCGCAACGAGCGCAACCCUUAUCCUUUGUUGCCAGCGGUUAGGCCGGGAACUCAAAGGAGACUGCCAGUGAUAAACUGGAGGAAGGUGGGGAUGACGUCAAGUCAUCAUGGCCCUUACGACCAGGGCUACACACGUGCUACAAUGGCGCAUACAAAGAGAAGCGACCUCGCGAGAGCAAGCGGACCUCAUAAAGUGCGUCGUAGUCCGGAUUGGAGUCUGCAACUCGACUCCAUGAAGUCGGAAUCGCUAGUAAUCGUAGAUCAGAAUGCUACGGUGAAUACGUUCCCGGGCCUUGUACACACCGCCCGUCACACCAUGGGAGUGGGUUGCAAAAGAAGUAGGUAGCUUAAC
rnacentral:rRNA from 1 species